rnacentral:sRNA from 1 species
UCCAGCCAGCUGGCUGGCUCAGAGCAGCAGCUCCUAUGCAAAAUGUAAAAGAAAAAAAAAACAACCUUUUCUGUAUCAGGAAGUUAACAUCAGUCGGGGGAAGCUGCGCUCUCUCUGGUUCUGCCUAGCGGGAAGUCUGGUGUAGAAGAAGCAAUCACCAGGUAAGGGAAUCUUCACUCCCUUUUUGACAUGGUAGAGGAUGGCUUGGAGUGUGUUCAGAGCACAGGCUGGAACCACACUGUCUGGGUUCAAAUCUGGAUCCUCCACUUACAAUGUUAGGAAUGACUGGGGACAAGCUAUUUAACCUCUCUGUGACUGUGUCCUCAUUCGCAAAUGGAAAUAAUAGUAGGACUUAUAUGCUAGGUUACGGUGAAGGCUAAUUGAGUUGACACAUAGAAAGUAUACCUAUCAGUGUUUGAUAUAUACAAACUCCAACAGUGGGGAAUGGGUUAUAUAAACUCUACAUAGCCAUUAAAAUAUCCAUAGUAGCUUGGAUAUACAUCCAUGAUCUAUUAUAAGUGAAAUUGGUUUUUAAAAAUGGCACCGUAUAUAUACCAUUAAAAAAGAAAAUAAAUCCAGGACAGAAAUGAGGUCUCCACAGUUGAGAACGCUAACUUUUCUCAUACAGGACCAGAGCAGCCACACCAGGCAGCUCUCGAACACCUCGAACUCCAGCUCCAAGGGAUUCAUACUCCUGUGCUUUCAUGAGCACUUGCACACAUGUGUCCAUAGGCACACGGAGACCCAGUACAUCUUUAAAGCGAGAAAGAAACCCAUUGAAAUGAAAAUAAUAAAGUAUGUACUCUUAUUAUAUAGCAAAAAGAUAUUUCUGUUUUCCAAAUACCCUGUAGUUUGUAUAUAUUAUGUAGGUAAUUAAAAAAACAAUAAAAGUUAUUCAGAAAGUGUUCAAAUGCAGUAGAUGUACAGUAGAUCCAGGUGAAAUAAUCCUGCUUUAAAACCAUAUCAACGGGUUGGAGAUUUAGCUCAUCGGUAGAGUACUUGCCUAGCAAGCACAAGGCCCUGGGUUCAGUCCCCAGCUCCAAAAAACAAACAAACAAACAAACAAACAAAAACCAUAUCAACACGAUCCCCCAGGGGCCUGGAUCAUUAAGGGCACCCGUGAGGCUAAGCCAUGAUCCACAUCACGAGCUUUAAGGGAACUCCAAUACGACCACCAAAAAGAAAAAAAUCCAUAACAUUGAAUGUUCUUGUGAGUGUGUUGCAUUUCGGCCCCUGCUUUCCGUGGGAUAGUCAAAAACUCUACCUACAGAGUCAGACCUGAAUCUUACCUAAACAAUAGCUGACCCUAAUACGUCAAAUUGCCUGCCCACUGCAUAAAAGCAAUGGGCUGAGCAAGGCUGUGCGUGCAGAGGGAGUCACUGGAGUUUUGAGCACAGGCGGGACAGGACAGGGUGGGGUAGCAUUCCUCCAGCCACUGACUCAGAGGUUUCAAGGAGGAAAUGCAAGCCUGGGGGCUAGUGAAAUAAAGGAAGAAGAUAAGCAUCACAUCCCUGUGCUCAUUUGUGGAGAAUGUGAUUGGGGAAAGGAAGGCAAUUCUGCCCCUGAACCACCAGCCUUAGUAAGUCACUACUCACCCUUGCAAGACUAUUACAACCCAGGUACCCUCAAUCUGGAAAGAGCACCAAACCCCAACCCCUGGACACCAGGGAUGCUAAUUCACCUCAUCUGGAGCCAAAUUGUAAAUAAGUAAGACCCCACCCCAGGCAUCCAGCAUCAGGGCUUCAGAUAGAAGUGACUAGUGAUACAUGGAAGCCUGCGUGACCAGAGAACAGGCAUUAGGAUGAAUCCAGAAGACAUUGCCAACAUCCUCCCUUGGCUUGGCCUCCCUCGCUUCCUCUGAUGCCUGUCAUUUUAUGUCUCCCUUUCCUGCAAUUUAGGCCAUAGUGGGUCCUUUGAGAGACGACAUAAUCUUUUUCUUCUCUGCAUGAGUAGCUUGUAAUUCUCUCUCCCUGGAGGACCAUUACACCCCACAGAUGUGAGGAACUGAGGAAGAAAACUAAAUGCUAGAAAAUUAGGAAGAAAGCUAAACGAGAGAAACUGGUUUCGUUUCCUGCUUUCAGGUGUCAGGGCCAUAGGGCCCUACCCCGUACACUUUAUUGUUGUCUCAAACUGCAUAGGUGACUGUAUAAAAGAGGCCAUCAUGAUAAUCUCUCAAACACCUGAACUGACUGGAAUUGCUUCUUUCUUCCCAAAGAAUAAAGGUGUCUGGGGUGGCCUUUGCUCUACACGGGACAGCCCAAGGCUCAGGCAGGAGGUAGGUGGCUGUUCUACUUCCCCAUGAGAGGUGACAGUGAUGACAGCAUUCCGACAUUUCUAGGAAUGCCCAUCGGGAUCUGCUUCCAAGCCUCAGGCUUGCGAAGGUAGGGAUCGCACGUUUUCUAUCAGGAGAACGGAGGGUAUCUUUUAAGAAGGUAUUUCUUCUGAAAAAUCUUUGAUAGUCUUUGUUUGGAAAUGUGGUGGGGGAGGGGGAGGGGUGCUGUGAGGAUGUCAGAGUUAUUUCUCUUCACAAGCAUGUAGUUCAUGGGGCAGAGAGAACAAGGGGUCUACAGAUGCCAAAGGAGAGUGGUUGGUAACGCUCGGCACUAGUGGUAACAGCAGGCCUGUGAAGUGGGAAUCAUGUGACUGCCAAACAGCCCACACUGCUUUAUGUCACAUCGCUUUUCUUGUCCUCUGGUCCUUCCCAGACUGUGGUCUGUUCAAAGCAUACCCACCAGGACAGUGGGACCAAGGAGUCGGCCAGACUGGGAAGUGGUUUGGAAAAAAUGCUAAAUUCUAAGUUGCUCUCUUGAGCUGCAGGAAGGCGGGACCGAGGUCUAUACAAGUGUUCGCUAGUGUCUCCCUGAACAUGGAACCGGCUCUCUUAGCUUAUUACGCGCUACGGUUUGAAUGUGUCUCCCAGGGGUUGGGGAUUUAGCUCAGUGGUAGAGCGCUUGCCUAGCAAGCGCAAGGCCCUGGGUUCGGUCCCCAGCUCCAAAAAAAAGAAAAGAAAAAGUGUCUCCCAAACACUGGGUUGGGAAGUUGAGCCUCACAGUCAUGUGUUAAUGGUAUCUGAAUAGAGCAUACCUGAGAGUAAUUAGGAAUAGAUAUAUACAUUCAUUCUGUGACUUUAUAAGAAGAGGAAGAGAGACCUGAGCUAACACACGCGCUCUCUCAUCACGUGAUGCCUCCUGCCCUAUCAUGACAGAGCAAGAAGAUGGGGCACUUGUACUGCCCACCUUCAGAGCUGUGAAAUAGUAAGUGUCUAUUCUUUAUAAAUUUCUUAUACAUUUCACAUAUCUGAAUACCUUAGGGUAUUCAGGGAUGGUUACAGAAAAUUGAUGAAAACAUCCUGUGUGUGGAUGUCUUAAACUAGAGGCAUUAAUUUAGGAUUAAUGGCUCAGUCAGUAGUCAGCCCUCCCUCUGUUUCUUUUUAGAACGGGAAGCCAGAAGAAGGGAGAUCCUUUCCUGUGCUAGAGAAAAGGGAAGGGUGGUUCACGGAAAUCCUACCGUGUUGUCUUAAAUGUCUCUGUUUAUUAUUUAGGGGAUGGUACACGAAAGAAAAAUCUUCAUCCUGAUAACUUGAUUCUCCUCUGUGUCCAGGAUGUCACUUCUUCUGUGAGAUCACAGAAGAAUCUUUUCCCUUGAUGGGCCACUGUGUAAUUAAAUCACAUAUCUACUUUACACAAGUAAUGCAGUUUUGAGAAAGGGAGUUAUGUAUAAAUUAUCUUUCUAUGCUCAAACCACAGAGUAAGUGAGCCCCAUGGAUGCUGUGUUUUCCUUUGCUUUUCAGAUGCUUUGGGGGUUACACUCAUAGCUUUAGAUACUCUUUAAAUAGAAAAGGAAAGACAGGCCAACUUAAUUAACAGUCUGAGUGUCUCAGAAUUCAGCCAACCAUACACAUGCACUCCUGGUAGGACAGGGAUUGGGAAGUGGGAAGAUAGAAACCAAGAAAGGCUGGCCAAGGGGCAGGCUCUUUCUCAAAACAAGCAGCCUUUUCCUUCUGCCUUCGCAAUGGCUGGAGGCCCUGGAUCUGAAUGGAAAACCUAGCAAGCAGGAUUUUGCUAUCCCUGACAUACAGCGAGAGCCAGGGAAGCCUUACUCCUGCUGCGUUACUACUGACCCUCUCUGUUUCCUUCCUCGGAGAUCUUGCAGGAUACCUCUAAGAGAGGAAAACUAGAUCCCAGCAGAUACUCAUUUGGAACACUGGCAGGGAGAGGCUUAUCUUACCCCAAAGUAACCAGAAAACUCAGUACCUCAGAGAUCCUACUGAGCAUUUCCCCAAGCAGAGCACAGUGCCAGCAUUCUAACCACCAUUCCUCCCCAAAGCUCACAAAGUUCCCUAAGGCUGUGAGCUCAUAGCAGCCUCAGCGGAUGCUUGUGAACUUUAGGCCUAGUACACACAGGCCAUUCAAUCCCGUAACUCAUGACUACUGGCCAGUUCUGUACCAGACACUCCUCUAACCCCACUUAAUUUCUUGUUUUCAGCCUUUCUGUUUUCCAAACAAAGUGAUUACUAGUUUUCUACCCAUAGAACAAACCCCUCAGAUGAGUAAGUCUAGCUCUCUGUGUCGGAGACGUUGACUUGUGGGCCACCAAGGUUGUUUUUGGCUCCUGGUAGCACACUGUGGUGGCUAUAGAAGGCAGGGCUGUCACUCACCUCAUGGCCAGGAUGCAAAAGAAAAGAGAAAGAAACAGAGUCACAGAGUCCCACAGUUCAUCCAACAGCCCAUUCUCAAUGACCAAGGGAAGUCCCAGCAGACUUCACCUUAUGACACCAUCUCCCAAUAGGUCCACUGGGGACCAGACAUUUAAAAAA